rnacentral:rRNA from 1 species
AGUUGCUAAGACAGGAUAGGAAAUUAAGAGGCAUCUUUUAAUUUUUAAAAGACCUUUUUCGAAAGGUAUACUUAAAGAGGGGCUUGCGCCACAUUAGUUAGUUGGUAAGGUAAAGGCUUACCAAGACGAUGAUGUGUAGCUGGACUGAGAGGUCGAACAGCCACAUUGGGACUGAGACACGGCCCAAACUCCUACGGGAGGCAGCAGUAAGGAAUUUUUGGCAAUGGAGGAAACUCUGACCGAGCGACGUCGCGUGAACAAUGAAGUACUUCGGUAUGUAAAGUUCUUUUAUUGAAAAAGAAAAAAUAGUGGAAAAACUAUCUUGACAUUAUUCAAUGAAUAAGCCCCGGCUAAUUAUGUGCCAGCAGCCGCGGUAAUACAUAAGGGGCGAGCGUUAUCCGGAAUUAUUGGGCGUAAAGGGUGCGUAGGCGGUUUGAUAAGUCUAUAGUUUAAAUGCAGUGCUUAACGCUGUAGCGCUAUAGAAACUGUCUGACUAGAGUUAGAUAGAGGCAAGCGGAAUUCCAUGUGUAGCGGUAAAAUGCGUAAAUAUAUGGAGGAACACCAGAGGCGUAGGCGGCUUGCUGGGUCUUAACUGACGCUGAGGCACGAAAGCGUGGGGAGCGAACAGGAUUAGAUACCCUGGUAGUCCACGCCGUAAACGAUGAGUACUAAGUGUCGGGUUUCGGCUCGGUACUGAAGUUAACACAUUAAGUACUCCGCCUGAGUAGUACGUACGCAAGUAUGAAACUUAAAGGAAUUGACGGGACCCCGCACAAGCGGUGGAUCAUGUUGUUUAAUUCGAAGAUACACGAAAAACCUUACCAGGUCUUGACAUAAUUUUGCGACAUUAUAGAAAUAUAAUGAAGGUUAUCAGAAUUACAGGUGGUGCAUGGUUGUCGUCAGCUCGUGUCGUGAGAUGUUAGGUUAAGUCCUAAAACGAGCGCAACCCUUGUCGUUAGUUGCGACCACGUAAUGGUGAGCACUUUAGCGAGACUGCCAAUGAAAAAUUGGAGGAAGGUGAGGAUUACGUCAAAUCAUCAUGCCCCUUAUGAUCUGGGCUACAAACGUGAUACAAUGGCUGUUACAAAGAGUAGCUACAACGUGAGUUUUUAGCCAAUCUCAAAAAAACAGUCUCAGUUCGGAUUGAAGUCUGCAACUCGACUUCAUGAAGUUGGAAUCGCUAGUAAUCGCGAAUCAGCAUGUCGCGGUGAAUACGUUCUCGGGGUUUGUACACACCGCCCGU